UACGGAGGGGACUAGCGUUGUUCGGAAUUACUGGGCGUAAAGCGCGCGUAGGCGGACCUGCAAGUCGGGGGUGAAAGCCCGAGGCUCAACCUCGGAACUGCCUUCGAUACUGCGGGUCUCGAGUCCGGGAGAGGUGAGUGGAAUUCCUAGUGUAGAGGUGAAAUUCGUAGAUAUUAGGAAGAACACCAGUGGCGAAGGCGGCUCACUGGUCCAGUACUGACGCUGAGGUGCGAAAGCGUGGGGAGCAAACAGG
rnacentral:rRNA from 1 species